AAGUGAAACCGCGAAUGGCUCAUUAAAUCAGUUAUGACUCAAUAGGUCGUACACAAUUACUUGGAUAACUGUGGUAAUUCUAGAGCUAAUACAUGCAGCAGAGCUCCGACCUUCGGGGACGAGCGCUUUUAUUAGACAAGACCAGUCGGGCCCGGUCCGUUCAUAUGGUGACUCUGGAUAACUUUGGGCUGAUCGCACGGGCUCGUCCCGGCGACGCAUCUUUCAAGUGUCUGCCUUAUCAACUGUCGACGGUUGGUUAAAUGCCUACCGUGGUUGUAACGGGUGACGGGGAAUCAGGGUUCGGUUCCGGAGAGGGAGCCUGAGAAACGGCUACCAGUUCUAAGGAAGGCAGCAGGCGCGCAAAUUAUCCAAUCGGCGUUUGCGGAGAUAGUGACGAAAAAUAACAAUACGGGACUCUUUUGAGACCCCGUAAUUGGAAUGAGUACAUUCUAAAUCCUUUAACGAGGAUCAAUGAGAGAGCAAGCCUAGUGCCAGCAGUCGCGGUAACCCUAGCUCUCAUAGCGUAUAUUAAAAUUGUUGCGGUUAAAAAGCUCGUAGUUGGAUCUCAGUUCCAGACGGGUGUUCCGCCUACCGGCGGUCAACGCUCGUUCUGAACAACCCGUCGGUUUCCCUGGAUGAUCUUCACCGGUUGUCCUGGGUGACCGGCAACUUUACUUUGAAAAAAUUAGAGUGCUCAAAGCAGGCGUGACGCCUGAACACUUGUGCAUGGAAUAAUGGAAUAGGACCUCGGUUCUAUUUUGUUGGUUUUCUGAACUAGAGGUAAUGAUUAAGAGGGACGACCGGGGCCAUGCGUACUACCUAGCUAGAGGUGAAAUUCUUUGACCUAGGUAUGACGAACGGCAGCGAAAGCGCUUGGCAAGAGCGUUUUCUUUAAUCAAGAACGAAAGUUGGGGGUCCGAAGGCGAUCAGAUACCGCCCUAGUCUUAACUGUAAACGAUGCCAACCAGCGAUCCGCCUGAGUUCCUCAAAUGACUCGGCGGGCAGCUUCCGGGAAACCACAGUUGGGUUCCGGGGGGAAUAUGGUUGCAAAGCUGAAACUUAAAGGAAUUGACGGAGAGGCACUACAAGGCAUGGAUCGUGCGGCUUAAUUCGACUCAACACGGGCAAUCUCACUAUGCCAGGACACAUUUAGGAUUGACAGAUUAAUAGCUCUUCUCGAUUA
rnacentral:rRNA from 1 species